ACAUAUUGGUUCUGUGACUGAACACAGACCAGMGUGCUCAUCGUUACAGUUAGUACUGCAGAGAUGUGAUAUGCGAGUGAUGGACUUCAGAGUUCUUGGUGUCAAGUGUCACUUUGAAGCAUACAUACUAAUGAAUAUACUGGAACUAAAUCGUGAGAGAAAUGGUUGAACAGGAGCUUGAAGGAGUGAUUGCCAAAGGUCAGCAGUUUUGCCUGUGCCAGUGCAGCCCUUGGGAAGGGUUUCACAAUCAGGAAGAUUGAUUAGGCAUAUGGCAGAAUAGCACAGCUAUUGAAUUCCUUUCCCUCAACUUCAGCUGAGGCGAGAAGAAAAGCGCUUUAAUUCCAGCAAUUAUCUAGUUUUAAUUGAGAAUGGUAAAGGGAUUGCAAAGUGUGUUUUUUAUUCUUGUUACACUUAAUUCUUGCGCAUGUUAUGUUUGCCUUAYUGUCACGUGUGGUGAUUUGUAAGGAGCUUUGGUGUCUGUCUGGCUCUACUGCAAAUCAUUAGCAGUUGCUUAGCAGGAGUUGGUAGUGUCACCUUAUCAUGAUGUGCCUUUGGACUGAAAAUCCAGCAGCUGGAUUCAAAUAGAUGAAAGAGAAGAGAGAGUGUUAGCUAAGAAUCGGUAUGGAAAAUGUAGCAGGAAUUCUAGUUAGUACUGUUAUCUUCCUAAAAAUUCCUGUUCUUCAUCAUUUCCUUAAAUUCUCUGCUGUAAAGUGUUAGUAAUGAAACACGGCUCAUAAUUUAUAUACUCUGUAAGAUCCUUGGAUCUAUGAAUGUUGCAUUUGUUUACCCGAGGCUUUCCGAUGUUGUUUUAGCGCUUUGGCGUGGGAAAGAGCUAUUUCUCACUGCAGGUGGAUGAUUCGAAUGAACUGCAGUUUGUAAACAAUCAGGUGUAUGUUUUUUCUAGUGGCAAGCUAUC